CUCCUUUUGAUAAAAAACUAAUACAACAUAUCUUUAUAACUGCUUUUUUUCAAAGAACUCUGAAUGUUUAAUUUUACAGCACUUUCCAAAGCAUAGGUGCCUCUUACUAUCCCAAAAUGUCAGUAUUUUUUUCUCCAGUAUUGCUUCUGUGCUACUUAAAUUAUCAGCUGGCAAAGGAAAUUCUUGUCCAGGGAGGGUAAGGCUCUACUUCUUUUCAGUAAAUUUCUAAUUUUUUUUAUUUCUUGAAAUUUCUGUAGAAACGGCUGAUGUGAAUACGUGGACAUGUAUUGAAUCGUUUCUUUCUGUUAUCCAUGAAUCAGAUGAGCAGAACUGUAUUUUGAUGAUGUUACUUGAACUGCAAAUGAUCCAGUGUCCUGGAGCCAAACUUGCAGUGUCUUUAAGGUCUGCCUGUGUACAGUAAGAAGUGUUUGGACAUUCACCACUAUCAAGAAAAGCCUUGGCUUACCUUGCCCUAGAAAGUUCAUAAGCAACGAUAAUGCUGAUUAUAAUGAUGAUGAUAAUGGUGACUAGGGAUUGCUGAUGGCUUCUUUGCAACAGAUGUAAAAAAUCCCUUCCUCUUCGACGAGAAAAUGUUGACUACUUGCUGACCAUGAACGUCUGGCCCCACGCUUCCUGGAGCCUCAGGACUGGUGGGCGGAACCCCUGUGACACCCCCUGCUCCCUCGUCAGCCGAUCAGAGGACUGUGCACAAGGUGAUCACACACCCUGCGACCCCCCCAAGCCUGCCCCCGCAUCCCUCACCUGGUUAUUAAAAGUGCUUUGCCAAACUGUUCUGAGAGUUCAAGGCUUUUUAGAGUAUCAGCCACCUCAUCUCCUUGCAUGGCCCUGUUUCUCUGCGUCAGACUCCCGUGGUUCCCUUUCUCUGUUCCAAACUCCUCACGGUUCAGUUCGCUUGGCCUCACUGUACGUCGAAUGCAUGAACUUCUGUUAACAACACCACCCCUCAUUCCCUGCAGACCCUUGUACCCCCACCUUUCCCAGUUCCCUGCCUGGGAUUGGGCCUUGUGUUAGGUUUGCUAAUGUCUGAUCCCUGCCUCCUCAGUUCAGCAGGACGGUCAUACUCUCUGGGUUCUACCUGCCUGUGCCGUGGUUGGGAAAGGUUCUCUGGCAGAAAGUGCAUUGGAGCAUCUCCAGUACUAGCUUCUCCAUCAGGGCUUGAGGCAGAAGUCGCCUCUCAUUUUUGAAAAGCAAGAAGUGCAUGAAUGGCUGUGUUGUGUAAGGAACUAGAAAAAGGCAUCCCAUUCAAAUGUUAUUUCAUGAUAGUGAAUGUGAGGAAGGCUCAGAUCCA